GCCAGGCUAGCUCAGUCGGUAGAGCAUGCAACUCUAAGGAUUGUGGGUUUGAGCCCCAUGUUUGGCA